rnacentral:rRNA from 1 species
GACGAACGCUGGCGGCGUGCUUAACACAUGCAAGUCGAGCGGUAAGGCCCUUUCGGGGGUACACGAGCGGCGAACGGGUGAGUAACACGUGGGUGACCUGCCCUCAGCUCUGGGAUAAGCCUGGGAAACCGGGUCUAAUACCGGAUAUGACUCCAUGACGCAUGUUGUGGGGUGGAAAGCCUUGUGCGGCUGAGGAUGGGCCCGCGGCCUAUCAGCUUGUUGGUGGGGUGAUGGCCUACCAAGGCGACGACGGGUAGCCGGCCUGAGAGGGCGACCGGCCACACUGGGACUGAGACACGGCCCAGACUCUACGGGAGGCAGC